AUGUAUGUUUCAAACAAUAGAGACGAUGAAGAAGAUUCGGUCAUUAGAAUCUUUGACAGAAGAAAUAAUGGAAAUGCUUCAUCAAGCAAAAUCUUUGGAGUUUCAUUAAGGAAAGAAGAUAAUGACUCAUGCAAGAAUUACUUAGACAACAUCCCAGAUAAUACCUAUGAAGAUUCAUAUGAGGAAUCUUCGAAGCAAUUUUUAAAGAAGUUUGAAGAAGAAGAUGAACAUAUUUGCUAG